GUGCAAGCGUUAUCCGGAAUCAUUGGGCGUAAAGCGCCUGUAGGUUGUUUAAUAAGUCCGUUGUUAAAGACUAGGGCUUAACCCUAGGAAAGCGAUGGAAACUGAUAGACUUGAGUAUGGCAGGGGUAGAGGGAAUUUCUAGUGUAGCGGUGAAAUGCGUAGAUAUUAGAAAGAACACCGGUGGCGAAAGCGCUCUACUGGACCAUUACUGACACUGAGAGGCGAAAGCUAGGGGAGCGAAAGGGAUUAGAUACCCCUGUAGUCCUAGCCGUAAACGAUGGAUACUAGAUGUUGUGCAAUUUGGACAGUAUCGUAGCUAACGCGUUAAGUAUCCCGCCUGGGGAGUACGCUCGCAAGGGUGAAACUCAAAGGAAUUGACGGGGGCCCGCACAAGCGGUGGAGCAUGUGGUUUAAUUCGAUGCAACGCGAAGAAUUUUACCAGGGCUUGACAUACUACAGAUUUUUUUGAGAAAGAAGAGUGCUUUCGGGAAUGUAGAUACAGGUGGUGCAUGGCUGUCGUCAGCUCGUGUCGUGAGAUGUUGGGUUAAGUCCCGCAACGAGCGCAAUUUUCGUUUUUAGUUGCUAAUUUAUUGGGAUCUCUAGAAAGACUGCCGGUGACAAACCGGAGGAAGGUGAGGAUGACGUCAAGUCAGCA
rnacentral:rRNA from 1 species